rnacentral:rRNA from 1 species
GACGAACGCUGGCGGCGUGCUUAACACAUGCAAGUCGAACGGAAAGGCCCUGCUUUUGUGGGAUGCUCGAGUGGCGAACGGGUGAGUAACACGUGAGUAACCUGCCCUUGACUUUGGGAUAACUUCAGGAAACUGGGGCUAAUACCGGAUAGGAGCUCCUGCUGCAUGGUGGGGGUUGGAAAGUUUCGGCGGUUGGGGAUGGACUCGCGGCUUAUCAGCUUGUUGGUGGGGUAGUGGCUUACCAAGGCUUUGACGGGUAGCCGGCCUGAGAGGGUGACCGGCCACAUUGGGACUGCGAUACGGACCAGACUCCUACGGGAGGCAGCAGUGGGGAAUAUUGCACAAUGGGCGGAAGCCUGAUGCAGCAACGCCGCGUGCGGGAUGACGGCCUUCGGGUUGUAAACCGCUUUCGCCUGUGACGAAGCGUGAGUGACGGUAAUGGGUAAAGAAGCACCGGCUAACUACGUG